ACACCUCAACUCUCAUGGUUUGCCAUGAUGAGCUUGGACUUUGGGGGUCUUGCUGGCCUUAUGGUCGGCUCCUCUUAAAUUGAUCAGCUUGCCAGUGUUUGGUGGCAUCACAGGUGUGAUAACUAUCUAUGCUUGUGGUUUUCCAUCAGGUAACCUUCAGUGAUGGAGGUUCGCUGGGGCUCAUAAGGGUCUCUCCUCAGCGAGGACAGCUUUUUGAAC
rnacentral:misc_RNA from 1 species